rnacentral:rRNA from 1 species
UACGUAGGGGGCAAGCGUUGUCCGGAUUUAUUGGGCGUAAAGAGCGUGUAGGCGGCCUGACAAGUCUGCUGUGAAAACUCGAGGCUCAACCUCGAGAUGUCGGCGGAAACUGUCUGGCUAGAGUCCGGAAGAGGAGAGUGGAAUUCCUGGUGUAGCGGUGAAAUGCGCAGAUAUCAGGAAGAACACCUAUGGCGAAGGCAGCUCUCUGGGACGGUACUGACGCUGAGACGCGAAAGCGUGGGGAGGCGAACAGG